rnacentral:rRNA from 1 species
UACGUAGGUCCCGAGCGUUGUCCGGAUUUAUUGGGCGUAAAGCGAGCGCAGGUGGUUUAUUAAGUCUGGUGUAAAAGGCAGUGGCUCAACCAUUGUAUGCAUUGGAAACUGGUAGACUUGAGUGCAGGAGAGGAGAGUGGAAUUCCAUGUGUAGCGGUGAAAUGCGUAGAUAUCGGGAGGAAGGCCGGUGGCGAAGGCGGCCCUCUGGGCCUGUACUGACACUGAGGUGCGAAAGCGUGGGGAGCAAACAGG